rnacentral:rRNA from 1 species
GCGUGCCUAAUACAUGCAAGUCGAGCGAGCUUGCCUAUAGAAAUUCUUCGGAAUGGACAUAGAUACAAGCUAGCGGCGGAUGGGUGAGUAACGCGUGGGUAACCUGCCCUUAAGUCUGGGAUACCAUUUGGAAACAGAUGCUAAUACCGGAUAAAAGCUACUUUCGCAUGAAAGAAGUUUAAAAGGCGGCGUAAGCUGUCGCUAAAGGAUGGACCUGCGAUGCAUUAGCUAGUUGGUAAGGUAACGGCUUACCAAGGCGAUGAUGCAUAGCCGAGUUGAGAGACUGAUCGGCCACAUUGGGACUGAGACACGGCCCAAACUCCUACGGGAGGCAGCAGUAGGGAAUCUUCCACAAUGGACGAAAGUCUGAUGGAGCAACGCCGCGUGAGUGAAGAAGGUUUUCGGAUCGUAAAGCUCUGUUGUUGGUGAAGAAGGAUAGAGGUAGUAACUGGCCUUUAUUUGACGGUAAUCAACCAGAAAGUCACGGCUAACUACGUGCCAGCAGCCGCGGUAAUACGUAGGUGGCAAGCGUUGUCCGGAUUUAUUGGGCGUAAAGCGAGCGCAGGCGGAUUGAUAAGUCUGAUGUGAAAGCCUUCGGCUCAACCGAAGAACUGCAUCAGAAACUGUCAAUCUUGAGUGCAGAAGAGGAGAGUGGAACUCCAUGUGUAGCGGUGGAAUGCGUAGAUAUAUGGAAGAACACCAGUGGCGAAGGCGGCUCUCUGGUCUGUAACUGACGCUGAGGCUCGAAAGCAUGGGUAGCGAACAGGAUUAGAUACCCUGGUAGUCCAUGCCGUAAACGAUGAGUGCUAAGUGUUGGGAGGUUUCCGCCUCUCAGUGCUGCAGCUAACGCAUUAAGCACUCCGCCUGGGGAGUACGACCGCAAGGUUGAAACUCAAAGGAAUUGACGGGGGCCCGCACAAGCGGUGGAGCAUGUGGUUUAAUUCGAAGCAACGCGAAGAACCUUACCAGGUCUUGACAUCCUUUACCACCUAAGAGAUUAGGUUUUCCUUUCGGGGACAAAGAGACAGGUGGUGCAGGCUGUCGUCAGCUCGUGUCGU